rnacentral:rRNA from 1 species
GAUGAACGCUGGCGGCGUGCCUAAUACAUGCAAGUCGAGCGAACAGACGAGGAGCUUGCUCCUUUGACGUUAGCGGCGGACGGGUGAGUAACACGUGGAUAACCUACCUAUAAGACUGGGAUAACUUCGGGAAACCGGAGCUAAUACCGGAUAACAUGUUGAACCGCAUGGUUCAACAGUGAAAGACGGUCUUGCUGUCACUUAUAGAUGGAUCCGCGCCGCAUUAGCUAGUUGGUAAGGUAACGGCUUACCAAGGCAACGAUGCGUAGCCGGCCUGAGAGGGUGAUCGGCCACACUGGAACUGAGACACGGUCCAGACUCCUACGGGAGGCAGCAGUAGGGAAUCUUCCGCAAUGGGCGAAAGCCUGACGGAGCAACGCCGCGUGAGUGAAGAAGGUCUUCGGAUCGUAAAACUCUGUUAUUAGGGAAGAACAAAUGUGUAAGUAACUAUGCACGUCUUGACGGUACCUAAUCAGAAAGCCACGGCUAACUACGUG